CUGAGAGCAUCCAGGAGAAGAAGCGCCUCUGGUUGCUCUCUCAGUCUAUUUGGUCCUGAACUCUUAGACCUCGCUGUGACAUUUAAAAGAAUAAAAAUGUGGCCUGGAACACACAGGGAGGAAGUCACUGCUGACCUGAGCCAAGAACACCGCAUCCCAGCAUAGGAAGCUUGGUUGGCCUCGGGCGCGGGGAGGGGAUUCAGUCCCAGGACGUGGACUCCAGGACCCAGGAGUCUAUGUUUCAGGUUUAACCUGGAGAUACAGGCGUUCACGGACAGAGCGUGGGGAGAGAGGGGCUUCCCGGAUGCCUGUGUCCCCACUGGUCGGCCGGCUCCAUCCCUUUCUGCCUCCUUGGGAGCCCUGACCCAAGUCAGCCAACCUGUGGCUCUCCCGUGACUUCUCACAGUGGGGGUUUCUCCCCAUUUCCAUCUGAGCCCUCAGCCCCAUCCUCGGGGCAGCUCCUUACGCCCAGGGGCUCCCUCACUGCAUGGCUCACACUGAAACGCCACCUCACACAUGCUUCUGGAACUCUGCUGCACAAACACAUCUAUUUAUCUUGCAAGCCAGCCCAUCAGACACCUGCUGCCUUUGGGGAACUGCGGACUCCACGUUCUGGAAGCUCUGAGACCUCUGAGCUAAGACAGCAAAAGAGAUGAUGUAUUGUACACGUUACAUUCAGCCACAACUGAGAAGAGAACUAGCCCAUAAUGUCACAGGUCCAGGGCAAAGGACCAAAAGGGGCUGCUUUGAUACAAGCAAGCUGAGUCUCUCAAAGGUGAUUGAGGAGAUCAGAAUGGCCAUGGAGACCAUUCAAAGUUCCAGAUCCACUGAGACAAGUUCUGGAUAGUAGGCAUGCAGUCCAGCAGUUUGUCCCAGCGUCCCUGGCCUCGGGCUUCCCUUGUUCCUGCCUCUGUGGCUGCCAUGGGUGUACACGUUUGCUUGGACCUCCGCCUCAUCUGUUUUCUUUUGCACAAUGGCUUCUCCCUCCACUUCACUCUCAUGGCACAGAGGUUUCUCCAAAGAUGGUGCUAAGGCUGAGAGAACACAUUACAUUUUAAUAACGCUUCUAAAUAUCUUUCUCAAAACUGUCACUGAUCACUCUCACAAAGGAAAGUCAUCAAUUGUUCAGAUGAU
rnacentral:lncRNA from 1 species